UCCUCUGCAACUAUCCGAAAUAAAAUGUUUUUUUAAUGUUUUAUAUUAUUUUGGUUUACUUUAUUGCAAUUAACAAAAAAGCUUUGUGUAUGGUUUAGUUAGAGUGUUAUUUAACCCUGAUGAGAACUUGCAUCUGCUGUAGUUCAGGGACUCACAGAAUGAGGGUUUUGUGUCUGGUUUCCUCCGCUUGGGUGUGAAAGCAGAGAAAAAAUGAGGAUCAAUAUUAUCCUCACUAGUUUUUUCAUCUUUUUUUCUCUUUCCAGUGUAGCUCUUCUCCUGCCCUUUCUCUGCUUUACCUUUACUCUCUAUAACUAGGAUAAAGAAAAGAAUAAAAAUUAACUGUACAUACUGUAUGAAACCAUUCUUGCUUUAUCAUUGCACAGUAAUGUAUCAUGGCAGCUUGUGCCUCUAGAUAACAAAA